CCUCAUUCUCUAGACUCAGCAAGGCCUGAAGGGAUUGUCUCAGGCUCCUCCACUCCAGCCUUCUAAGGGCCCAAAGUGGUUCAGAGGGGACGCUCUCAGCGUUCCUUCUCUUCCAACAGCUGUGACAACCUCUGACUCAUGCCUGGGACAAUUUCUCUCAGUUCUGGUGUACCUCCAGUCCUCUGUGUGAGCACUUGAUGAAGAACCCUGAGAAAGAGUGGACAGCUAAAGGAAAGACCUGGGUGUGAUUAAGUAUGAUACAGUGACAUAUUUGAGAUGAUGACGGUGUUACAAGAACUGAAAAAGCAAAACUCUGAGAACAAGUAAGAUGCAGGGACAGCAGCCUCGACCGAAGAAACUGGAUGAGGAAAGGAAGAAGCUAGAUGAUCAUCUCUCACUGUUCUUACGUGGCAUUUCUUUCACUGAGUGGAAGGCUGAAUGAUUAAUGAAAGACCCUCCAAAUCUGAAAAGAUUCUACGUCUGACCAAAAAGAAUGUUACGUUCUUUUUUGGUCAUUAAAUUGAUGGGUGUAGCCGUCUAGCUUUGCCUUAUUGGAAUAUCCCAGCAUUAAAAGAAAAUAACAGAUGGACCUCUACCCUUUAUCCUAUACACACAUACUUUGGCCUAGUUUUUGUAUUACUUUGCACAUUUUUAUUGAUUAAUAUCAUGGCAAUAUAUAUUUAAACUACUGUGCACACUCCAGUUUCUUUGCUGAUCCUGUUGAUCAUUUUCCUACUGCUUAGUCAAAAUACUGACAUGAUCCCACAUAAAAAAGCUGCUAUUUGUGUAAAUUACAUACAAUACCCAGAGGCACUGAGCAUUCUACAGAAUUAGUAACGAAUAUAUUUACAAAACAUUAUAAUCCCUUCUCAAUUGCAUAUGCUAAGUUUACUGUUGCUACUAGGAAUGGAAUCAAGAUGUUUUCAAUUUAAAGAUAGAUAAAUGUAAAUAGACGUUGAAAAAAAUGUUAGCACAUUAUAGAAGACUUACUUAAAGAAUUCUAAAUCUAAAAUUUUCAACUGCAUCUAUCAUUAAUUUUUUUCUAUAGUAUGUUUCUCCUUGGAUAUAACACAUUAAAAGGAAUGUUUGCUCUCUAUAAUAGACUAGAAACAGAUGCGAAUAAAAUCAUAUUCUUUCAUAAUAAAUGGAAAAAAUGUUUUGCUCACAGAAAAUGCAAUGUUAUCUUUAUAAGAAUAAAAAUUUUAAAUUGCUAGUAUAACCUUUACUUUUAUAUAAAUAAUUUUACUUCUAACUAAUAUUUAUUUCAUGUCAUUUUCUUGAGAUCUUCUAACUUAGGUCAGAGAUUAUAUAGUUGACACUAAAGCUUAUCCUAGAACUCACGUGUUCUAUAUCCACUCAUACAGAGAGACCAUAUCUUGGUGAAUUCAGUGGGAACAUUACUGUCUACGGAAACUAAUUUGAUCUGGUUGAAAUUUUAAAUAAAAUUUUAAAUGACAUAGUUCUGCCCCUCCUGGACUGACUACUGAUUGAUAGAAAAAAAGGCAGAUUAGUUAGGACAGUAAAAUCAUACAUAUCUGCAAACAUUUCUCUAAAUGUGAAAUGAAGAUGCCUUUUUAUUUUAGAAAACCACUACUUGUAAUUACAUGUCUGUUUUAUUGUGCCAUAUUUAUAAGUGUAUUUAGUAAGAAAAGCAGAUUUAAGAUUAUCUCAUUAAAA
rnacentral:lncRNA from 1 species